ensembl:lncRNA
AGUGGAGGUAGGUGUAUCUCUCUGGAGAUUCCUGCAUACCUGAGGCAUUCUGAAGGCACUAAACUUUAGAAAAGUCAACUUGCAGCACUUCAGGAAGUUAGUCAACAAAACUUCCUGGAAAACUACCCUUAAGGACCGGGGUUCAGAGCAGAGAUGCAUAUCUUAAAUAAGUUUUCCUUGGUGCUCAAGAACUCUCUGUUCCCAGGUAGAGAAAUUCAGGGAUGGAAGGCAAGAGUCUGGUGCGGCUGAACUAGAACCUACUGGUCAAAUGGGAGAGCAAGAAAUAAAAUGAAAGGCAGAGGCAGCAGGGACAGGUAACUGGGGGGCAGUACAGGGAUGCUGCUAAGCUGCGUAGGGAUGGGAUCAGGAAGGUCAAGAGUCAGCUGGAACUGGAUGUCACAAAGGGCGCAAAGAACAAGGAAGACUUCUGUAAGUGCAUCAAAGAGAAAAGUCCAAGAGGAUAUACCCCUCCUAGUGAGCAAUGUACUGCAGUGGCUUAAAACAUUCUCCAUGAAGUUAACAGACUCAGUGGAAAUUUAUACUUUCAUUUUAUGAACUCAAAGUCAUCCAUUAUCCACCCAGAAAAUAAAAAAUACUUAAGGAGGGAAGGAGUAGUGAAAAGAAAUUUGUAAUGUCUGUUUCAUGUGUAUGUUUAUUUUUUUCUUAGGGAAACUUCUGGAAAGUAGAAUAACAGGUAGUAUAGAAACACACACACGCAUAUAUACUGUCAGAUCAUGCAAAAGGAGCAUAAGAACUUUCUUUAUUUACCUUCAGCCUGACUGAGAAAUAAACAAAUAGAAUGGAAGGAAACCGUUGAAGACCAAAGAAUAGGUGAUGAGAACAUAGCUUAGUUGUCCAGAUUCACAAAAAAUUGUAGCUCCUAAUGAAAACUUGCAUUUUCCUUCAAUAAAAGAAAGGAGUUACAGGAAGUGUCUAUUGAAUAUAGACAAUGAACAGCCUUUCUGAUUUCCUCUCUUCUAGAUCUGGUGAAGAUAGUUUAAGUUGCUAAACAAUCAAAGACUUUACCCACCUCUGCUCUGCUG